UUACAUGAACGUGCAACCAAAACAGGAAGCCCUUCAAAGACUAUCCACAUUCUUUAUGACACCCUCUCAACUUCUCCCGCAAGACAGCAACCCAAUAAUGCCAGAGCCUAAAGCAGCACACGAAGAGGAUCCUGGCAGCUUAAAUCAAGAGGAAGUAAAUCUAGAUGUUUCAGAACUCCAGUUUCUUCCUCCUCCGGGCCUGUACGCCGACAGCAUAGCUGGAGACUCCAUGCCCAUUUACAGCAAGCCAAUCAAACUCGUCUCAAAAUAGCCGAAUAGCUCCGGCUGCAAGAGGGAAAGAUGGACCGCUGGAUCUUCACUCUGAGUUCAUAACCCUCCUGUGGGGCGUGAUUUGAUGAGACCACAGUAAAUGCCACCCACACAAGCUCAAGAAGAGAUGUGUCUGUCAAGUGGGAAGAAUAAUGUUUGUGAUUGUGCAUCUGUCUGUGAGUGGCUGCAGGCGAGUUCUUCUAUAUUCAUGUAUAUAAUGUGCAUUCUGUGUGGGGAAAAAAGCCCAUGCGUGGUGCGGUGAGAAGCUCUUCAGAUUAUUUAGACCCUUGCAUUUAAGUGUUAGUUCACUUUUGUGUGGAAAAGACAGUCUGUGUCUAGAGGUUGUCUAAUAAGUCUAAAAGGUUCAUAAUUGAACAAUUGCGUUCAAAGCAUGAGAGCUCAUGCAUGUUGAAACAGCUUGGCAUUUGGAUUUGGUUUUAACAGUACACUGCCAUGUAAACCUUUAAAUGCAGUAAAAAGUCAGCAUUAUUUUUGCGGUAUAAUUUACUUAUUUAAGUUAGGAUUGCGGCUUACAUGUUUAUAUAGCCAUACUUUGUAUUUGUAUUAGAUUAAUUAGUAUUAUAUUAUUCAUUUGAUAUUUUACAAGCAGUACUUUGCGUUUAAGUGCUCCCAGUCUUCAGGGCUUUACUCAUUAGGGGAAAUAUGCGGACGCGUGUUUGAGUGCUGUUU